UAGGGAAUCUUCGGCAAUGGACGAAAGUCUGACCGAGCAACGCCGCGUGAGUGAAGAAGGUUUUCGGAUCGUAAAACUCUGUUGUUAGAGAAGAACAAGGACGUUAGUAACUGAACGUCCCCUGACGGUAUCUAACCAGAAAGCCACGGCUAACUACGUGCCAGCAGCCGCGGUAAUACGUAGGUGGCAAGCGUUGUCCGGAUUUAUUGGGCGUAAAGCGAGCGCAGGCGGUUUCUUAAGUCUGAUGUGAAAGCCCCCGGCUCAACCGGGGAGGGUCAUUGGAAACUGGGAGACUGGAGUGCAGAAGAGGAGAGUGGAAUUCCAUGUGUAGCGGUGAAAUGCGUAGAUAUAUGGAGGAACACCAGUGGCGAAGGCGGCUCUCUGGUCUGUAACUGACGCGGAGGCUCGAAAGCGUGGGGAGCAAACAGG
rnacentral:rRNA from 1 species